AUUAAUUCGAUGCAACGCGAAAAACCUUACCUACCCUUGACAUGCCAGGAACCCUGCUGAGAGGUGGGGGUGCCCGAAAGGGAGCCUGGACACAGGUGCUGCAUGGCUGUCGUCAGCUCGUGUCGUGAGAUGUUGGGUUAAGUCCCGCAACGAGCGCAACCCUUGCCGCUAAUUGCCAUCAUUUGGUUGGGCACUUUAGCGGGACUGCCGGUGACAAACCGGAGGAAGGUGGGGAUGACGUCAAGUCCUCAUGGCCCUUAUGGGUAGGGCUUCACACGUCAUACAAUGGCCGGUACAGAGGGCUGCCAACCCGUGAGGGGGAGCCAAUCCCGCAAAGCCGGUCGUAGUCCGGAUUGCACUCUGCAACUCGAGUGCAUGAAGUCGGAAUCGCUAGUAAUCGUGGAUCAGCAUGCCA
rnacentral:rRNA from 1 species